GAACUGCUGAAGAGUCCUACAAUAGGACGAGACGACCGUCCAAUGC
rfam:Schistosoma rodhaini strain Burundi genome assembly, scaffold: SROB_scaffold0000174